rnacentral:rRNA from 1 species
AUGCAUCUCACUCUUGAAUUCGGGGGCGGUCUGGAGCUUCUCCUAGAGAAAUCCACCAAGGUACACAAGGUGGAUGUCCAGCCCAGGGACGGUGAAGACAAGGCCACGAUGAAGGGGUUGCUCUCUUGGGUGAAGUCCAAUUUGAUCAAGGAGCGGCCGGAGAUGUUCAUGAAGGAUAAUUCUGUGUAUGGUUUCUCUUUUUUCCUUUUUCAUUUGCUUGUGUUUUGGCGGAAGUGUCUGGAGACCUUGUUGCCGUCCAGGAUUUGUGCUAUCAGCUUCUCUAGUUCAUCACUUCAGCCUGGUGCCUAUGUGAUAACUAGUGUAAGUCAACAACAAGCACAAAGCCUUUUGCCCCAAGCAAGUUGGGGUAGGCUAGAGAUGAAUUCCAACAGAAAACUGUGA